UGUUUAAUGCGGCCGCCGAUAGGUGAUGGUUCCAAGCCCAUAAAACGCAGAGGAAACA
rnacentral:ribozyme from 2 species